UUCCCACGCCGGGAAACGAACCCGGGCCUUAUGAGUGAAAGCCGGAUAUCCUAGCCAAUAGACACAUGGGA